rnacentral:rRNA from 1 species
UACGUAGGCAGCAAGCGUUGUUCGGAAUUACUGGGCGUAAAGAGUGUGUAGGCGGUGCUCCAAGUCUGGUGUGAAAUCUCCCGGCUCAACUGGGAGGGUGCAUUAGAAACUGGAAUGCUAGAGGAUGGGAGAGGUAAGCGGAAUUCCUGGUGUAGCGGUGAAAUGCGUAGAUAUCAGGAGGAACACCUGUGGUGUAGACAGCUUACUGGACCAUUUCUGACGCUGAGACACGAAAGCGUGGGGAGCAAACAGG